rnacentral:rRNA from 1 species
UACGUAGGGUGCGAGCGUUGUCCGGAAUUACUGGGCGUAAAGGGCUUGUAGGUGGUUUGUCGCGUUGUUCGUGAAAACUCACAGCUUAACUGUGGGCGUGCGGGCGAUACGGGCAGACUGGAGUACUGCAGGGGAGACUGGAAUUCCUGGUGUAGCGGUGGAAUGCGCAGAUAUCAGGAGGAACACCGGUGGCGAAGGUGGGUCUCUGGGCAGUAACUGACGCUGAGGAGCGAAAGCGUGGGGAGCGAACAGG